GCGCGGGACCUGCCUGCCGGGAGGGGGUGGAAUCGGAGGCGCUGGCGUGGUCUGGCCACUUCAGCCCUCCACGGAGUACCCUCCUCGAGAAAGUGGAGAACCCCAACUCUAGUGCCUAGAGGGACCAGCAGGCCAUGAACGGGGUUGCCAAGAGGACGAAAUGAGGCAGUCAGUGUGAAAACACAGCACAGGCCAAAAUAUUCGCGUAUUCUACAAGGAUGAGCUGCUACGCGUCCAGAGGUGGAAAACGCAAACAGAAUUCUUGCCCUCAGGUUUGUUCAGCCAUGGCACAGCCUGUUCUGACUCUGGAACAUUUACAAGAUGAGCCAAAAAAUCACAAAAAAAUGGUUUGCUCUCGGAGCUAAAGGGCGGGGCAGCCAGGGUGGGAGACUAACUUUUUGGCUUGUCCUUUGCGAUCUUUUUCCCUCCUGCCCUCAGGAACCAAAGGGACUUUAAUGGGGUUUCCUGCCUCAGUCUUUCCAGAACCAGCAUGUGACCAGACUAGAACAUUCACCUGUAAGACUCCUGGUUCUCAGCUGCACCCUCAUCAGCUCUGUUCCAAACCCCAGCUUCCACCCUCUGAGUUCAACCCACAGCCUGAUCCACCUGACCAGCCCGGGUAUGGAGGCACUGGGCCCAGCACCUGGAUCCUUCUGCCCCCUCUGCCUGCAGUAAUCUUUCUCCCUGAUUGUGAGCUCCUGUUUGUCCUUCAAAACCCAGGUGUCAUGUCACCACCUCUAUCUAAAACCUUGAAUGGACUCCCCAGGGAGUCUGCCGGCUACUUUUUAAAAAUUUAAAGAGCCCAACCAGGAUAAACAGGAUAGCUACAAUGCUAAAUUUUGUUGCUUUUGUCAGACUGGAUACUAGCUCAGUAUAGCCCUGUUAGUUAUUGUUGAGCAGAAGUACUUAUCUGCAGUUACAUAAAUAUCUGGCUACAAAAAACUUGGAAAGGACCCCCGUAAAAAUGCAAUUUGUCUGGCUGACAACAUAAUUUAUUUACACCUUAAUUAUUCAUUAAUUAAGGAUGGCAGAAGGGCUGGGGUAAGGAUGACAAAAGGAAUCCCAGUGGUAAAAAGGUGACUCUGAGAUCCUACAUAGCCUUGGGUGCAGGUGCUGGCUGUCUCAUUUCCCCAAAAGGCUUAGUACACAGUAGGUGCUCAGAAAGUCCUCGUUGAAUAUUGUGUGUGAAGAUGUAGGAGUAUGUGAGGAUGAUGACACUGGGGUCGCUGAAGCUACUGUCCACCCCAGUUGGCUGUCCCAUAGGCACUAGAUUCAGAACAACUCAAAGCUGUCCUCCCUGGGCUCUUUAUCCUCAACCGGGAGACAUGCCAGUGCCUUGCACGCACCCAAGUAGCACUAAGGCUGGUCAGGACUUGGGGACAGGGCUGUGUAUUCCGGAGCCCCUCCAGGGAGCAGGGGUAACAGCCUGGAUUCCAACACCCACGGCAGCCCCCCUGCCCCUUUGCUCCAGGCAGCUCCACAAGAAGCCGCGUCUGGCCAGCUGUGGGAGGUGCCAUUCUCUUUCAUUGCCAAGAUUAGCUCAGACCUUAAAAAUCACAGCCUGGCGCCUGCUCUUCUCAUGACAAGGGCAAGAGUAGAUGUCAGAAGCCUCCUUAGGUAUCUGGAAGAGAACAGCUCCCUCCGCUCCCUCCCUUCCUUGUAUGAGGUCAUUGAACCAGGAUGACAAAGCAAACAGUGAUGUGUUGGGACUUGUUCCCGGACUCAUUCCAGGGUUUCUCCAGCCCCUCCCUCCUCCUCCUCCUCCUCGCAGAAUGGCAGACCCAGGUGUGGACAACAAACUGAACUGGAUUUGGUCCUGGGAAUCUGGGAGACAGACCCUAGUUGGGAGGCAUCCUCUGUGAUGGUGAAGAGGUCCCGAAAGACCCUGGUGGAACUGGGAAUGGGAGUAUUAGCUCCAGUGGACACCUGCACAGUCCUCCAGGCUUCCGUGUGCUUUCAUGUAUUCUCACAUGUGUUAAGGGGGGCAAGAAUUCUUUUCUGACUUUACAGAUGCGAAAACUGAGACUUGUGUAUAGUCAGCAACUUAAUCAGGGUUACAUGGCUUGGGUGACAGAGCCAGACUUCAGAUUAGUUUUGUGACUCUAGUUACAACACCUUCCCACCUCACCACAGUUCCUUCAACUUCACUCAUUGGUACACCUCCUUUACACUUGGUACCGUGUUGCAGGCCACCGUGCAUUAUUGGCUUCAUGUUCUUCUUCAAAUAAAACUCAC
ensembl:lncRNA